AAAAGACUUCGUCCGGACUCCUACGGGAGACGGACUCCACCCGCGAUCCCAAUUGCAGGUGAACUUCGUCCGGACUCCUACGGGAGCUGGGCUUUGCCCUCAACUGCAAUUGCAGGUAGACUCCGUCCGGACUCCUACGAGAGCCGGACUUCGCACCUGACUUAAAUUGCAGGAAGACUCUACCCGGACUCCUACAAGAACCGGGCCUCGUCCCCAACUCCGGCUGCA
rnacentral:lncRNA from 1 species